CCCCUCGGGGAGCCGCGCGUUAGGCCAGAGCACGGCGGGGAGGAGGGGGGAGAGGGGUGACAGAGUGGCGUAAGGAGAAAAAGGCGAGUGCGCUGGAGGCUGUUGCAACCCAAGCAGAAGUGGAGCAGGGUCCAGGAAUCCUCCCUCUGGAAAAUGUCUGAAGAGCAGAUGUAAUUUGGUAGCAUUAUAAAGGCCGAAGGAAAUAUGACACCCUGCACUGUCUUCUUCCUAAAAAGACAAAAGUCCUUCUAAUUUCCAGCUUUCCUACCUUGUCCCAGGAGCACAGCCUGCUACAACUUUAUCCCAGAAGGUUUCUUUAUGCAAACUGUCUCUCAAAAUAUGCGAGGUAGAGUUAAGCAGCACAAGACCCUGCAAUACACACUCUUCUGAAAGGCUGCUACUCAAGCCCGUGGUCUCAUCCUGCAGCUGUACUUAAAGCAAAAUUUCCGUUGACUUAAGCAGAAAUCGUAUGCAAGUUAGGACCGUGGGGUGGUCUGUCUCUUGCAGAAGGCCAGAGGUCCCAUGUCGGAGCUGCAGCAAAGACCUCCAAGGCACAGUAUCUUGCAUCAAUGAGAAUCCAUGCGGUCUCGCUGACUCCCACGGCAGCGCCUCUUUACUUCACUUUGUGAGAGCUCAGGGGAAAAGCUGACACCGUUUUGUCUCCAUGCCCAUGUACCUUGCACAGCCAAAAGAGGUGGCAGCAGAACAUGGAGACGUGUUUGUUCACCCAGAACAUCGCACCGGCCCGGGGAGGUAGUGAACGUUGCUGCGGUACAGUCUUUGUCAGCAUUUCUGUUUUAAACCACACUUGACUGACUUCCAACAACUACAAUGUAAUAUUUUGACUAUUUUAUUAGCAUUCAGAUGAAAUAAAACGUGUAUGUUAGAGGCUGA